ACCCACGCGCGGCCCUCCUGCACCUCGGCCAGCACUCGUAGCGCGCUGGGCGAGCCGGACCGGAAGUUGAAGAAGUGAAGCGCCGCGCGCGCCGCCUGCUGCAGGAGCCUGCGCGGGACCCCAGCAUCCUGAGGCUGCCCAGGGUCGUCGGGGUCCCCGGACCCCGCGGGCGCCGCCACCGGGGCGAGCAACAGCAGCAGCGCGAGCAGCGGGGCGGUGGGGCGCGGGCCCCUGGGCCCGGACCAGGGAGCAGGCAGCCGUUGCCGGCGGGGCUGCAUGGACGCAGGAAAGUUGGCUCGGCACCCGACAGACACGGGCUCGGAGCGGGCAGUGCCGGCGCUCGCGGAAAUAAGGCCGUGGUGGGCCCCUCCCCUCCGCCCCCAGGGCGAAGAUAAUUGUGAAACACCUGUGCCAGGCCCUGGGGGAAUGAGGGUGAACAAUCUUAAACAUCUCUGCCUUCCUGGAGCACACCUUCUAGGUUGCACAGUGGCUCAGAGAGUAGACUUGGAGCCAGGCUGCCCGGUUUUAUAGCCCUGCUUGACCUGUGUGAUCCGAGAAUAAUCUUGUUUAAUCUCCACAAGUUUGAGGACUAAACUGGGUGCCACAGAGAAUUAAGUAACUGGUCGAGGUUGUAUCAGUAAGAAGGGAGCACGGAACAGAUUCAAGCUCAGGAACAUUUUCUUCUCAUCAUUGGCAGUGUGGGCUGGGCACGGUGGCUCAUGCCUAUAAUCCCAACAAUUUGGGAGGCAGAGACAGGAGGAUUGCUUGAGUCCAGAAGUUCGAGACCAGCCUGGCCAACAUAGUGAGACCCUGUCUCUAUUCACAUAUUUAAAAAUUAAAAGAAGUUUGGCAGCGUGUUCAGGAAGGACAGGACCUACUUCGAUCAUCUUACGACCAUGAGACAGGAUGGAGAAGGGAAGAAGCUUACACUUGGCAAUCUUCUAGGGAGGACUUUGGCUGAACCCAGUGAACCAGGAGGAAAAGAAUCACAAACAUCUGGAGUUUGUUGACUAGAAAAAUUCCUUGUGGUCUGACAGAUUACCAUUUCCUACCCAGCCAUUCUCAUCAGAGAAACCAGUCCCAUUUUCAACUGGCGCGGCUAGUUGAAAGUUCCACAUGUUUCCCCAGAAAAUGGCAUAGCCAGAAGGCCCUCACCAGAUUCCAGCACCAGCCUCCAGAACAUGAGCCAAAUAAAUCAUCGUUUAUAAAUUACCCAGUCUCAGGUAUUCUGUUUUAGCAACACAAAACAGACAAAAACAACCAUGUUUACUUGGCUGGUUGCCCCAUCUUUCUUGAAUGGAAAAAAAAAAAGCACUUGAAAUAGUCUGUGGAAAUUCUACCCAGUUUGGAAAUGCUGCUGAAUUCUCAUGUCUCUAGGCCCAGUUCACAACCCUCACUGAGCUGAUGCUACCAGGUAAAAAGCGAGCAAUUACGGUGUGCUGACCAUUUG
rnacentral:lncRNA from 1 species